GACGAACGCUGGCGGCGUGCUUAACACAUGCAAGUCGAGCGGGGUCCAACCUGUCGCAAGACAGGGGAAGACCUAGCGGCGAACGGGUGAGUAACACGUGAGGAACCUGCCCCGAAGACCGGGAUAACACCGGGAAACCGGUGCUACUACCGGAUGCCCUCAGAGAGUCGCAUGGCCGCCUGAGGAAAUGGAUUCCGCCUCGGGAGGGCCUCGCGGCCUAUCAGCUUGUUGGUGGGGUAACGGCCUACCAAGGCUCCGACGGGUAGCUGGUCUGAGAGGACGACCAGCCACACUGGGACUGAGACACGGCCCAGACUCCUACGGGAGGCAGCAGUGGGGAAUCUUGCGCAAUGGGCGAAAGCCUGACGCAGCAACGCCGCGUGCGGGACGAAGGCCUUCGGGUUGUAAACCGCUUUCAGCAGGGACGAACAUGACGGUACCUGCAGAAGAAGCCCCGGCCAACUACGUGCCAGCCGCCGCCGUAACAC
rnacentral:rRNA from 1 species